AUUGUAUAAACAAAAUUAUUUUGCCAGAGUACUACCAGCAACAGCUUAAAACUCAAAGGACUUGGCGGUGCUUUAUAUCCUUCUAGAGGAGCCUGUUCUGUAAUCGAUAAACCCCGAUAAACCUCACCAGUUCUUGCUAAUACAGUCUAUAUACCGCCAUCUUCAGCAAACCCUAAAAAGGAAGAAAAGUAAGCAUAAUCAUAAUACAUAAAAACGUUAGGUCAAGGUGUAACCUAUGAAAUGGGAAGAAAUGGGCUACAUUCUCUACACUAAGAGAACCAAACACGAAAGCUAUUAUGAAAUUAAUAACCAAAGGAGGAUUUAGCAGUAAACUAAGAAUAGAGUGCUUAGUUGAAUUAGGCCAUGAAGCACGCACACACCGCCCGUUCACCCUC
rnacentral:rRNA from 1 species